rnacentral:rRNA from 1 species
GCGAGCGAAAAGAAAAUAGUUCAGCACUAAGUCAUUUUGCCUUAAUGGCAAAUAUGAGAUGCAGUGUAUGGAACAUCUAUAAUCUAGUAUGAAAAAUUAACGAUUUAAGUCCUUCUUAAAUGAGGCCAUUUACCCAUAGAGGGUGCCAGGCCCGUAUAACGUUAAUGAUUAUUAGAAGAUGAUUCCAAAGAGUCGUGUUGCUUGAUAGUGCAGCACUAAGUGGGUGGUAAACUCCAUCUAAAGCUAAAUAUAACCAUGAGACCGAUAGUAAACAAGUACCGUGAGGGAAAGUUGAAAAGAACUCUGAAUAGAGAGUUAAAUAGUACGUGAAACUGCUUAGAGGUUAAGCCCGAUGAACCUGAAUAUCCAUUAUAGAAAAUACAACAUUAUGUAUAUAAUAUUUUAAUAAUAUUAUAAAAAUAGUGUGCAUUUUUUCUAUAUAAGGACAUUGUAAUCUGUUAACAUUAGAUUUAUCAUAAAAUCAUUUAGAUUUAAGUUUAUUCAAAUUAAUAUGCUAUUUCGUAUAUUAAUGUCGAAUAAGUUCUUAUGAUUUGAUAAAGUGUUGAUAGAUUGAUUAUAUAUAGUGUUUAAAUUCUUAUAGAAUUUUGUAAUGGCAUAAUUAUCUUAUGAUUUUUGUGUUUAUUACAUGCGCUAAUAUGAUUAACAAUGCGAUAGAUUCAGGAUACCUUCGGGACCCGUCU